AAGGUCCGCCUCCUUCCCGUCUAAGGCCGCCGCCUUUCCGACCCAUGCCCUCACGCGAUUAACACUUGCGACAUGACAGGAUGGAGGCCACGUACUAGGAGACGAAUGAUGUACGACGACUUCGCUGCGGGAUACAGUCUCGUCUCAGCUUGCUAGAGUUUCGGAGGUUUCGGACGGCUCAGUACAAGACAGAUUACCGUUGCAUCGCGAGGAAAAUCAGCAGCACGCCUCAAUGAAGCGCAUAUGAGCCCCCCUACCCAUCAUCCUGACGCACCUAGCACCCUAUAAAGCUAUACUGGCGCGUUCCUAACGCCUAUUUCGUGCGUUCCGCUUGGAUUGGCUUAUUUAAACACGCCGGGGCCCAAAAUCCGCCAACGACGAACGCCCGGGGCAACCUCAAAGCUUUUCGAUAAGGGAUAGCUAGGAGGCAUAUCGUUUAACUGAGCCUUCGGAGCCCGAUAAUGACUCCGCGUGCUGCUGCUGUCAGCAAGCAGCUUCACUGUUGGCUGCCGGCCUAUGAUUUCAAAAUCGUUGAGGCGGGACCCAGAUACGCAACGCAACUCAUCCCAGGUUGCCGACCGCACAAGCCGUAAAACCCACAAAACCAUUCUUAACGAGAUGCACGUUACAUCUGCCAGAGCUUCUUGAAAUUUCUCCCCCUUGGACCAGCUGAUACAGUCGCCCCUCUUGGCGAGUCCAUGAACUUACAGGCCGGGAGUUCCCAAGUCAACGGAGCGGUGACGAGCUCAACGGGGCUUCUGCGACAUCUGCUCCACGAACUCUGCUCCUUUCACCCAUGCCGAUUCCCCAGUAGAUAUGAGCCAGGUUACUGCGUAGCGUGCGUAAUCGUUGGAGAUGGCUUCCGGUCGGUACGUUACCGCACCUUUACGCUUCAGCGCGCCAACAACCAGAGCGCUGAUGGCUACCUGGGCAAGCACAAAACUAAGGGUACCCAUCACGUUCAGGUUUGCAAUGGCACAAGGUACUGCAGAAAAGGUGAUGGAGUCCCUAUGCCCCCUAAGAUGGAGAACGGUAGGAACUUGAGCCCUUCGGAAUCAGUUGCAACUUUCAGGCUCUCAUCGCCCGCACAAAUACUACCUCUUUCACAGGGA
rnacentral:lncRNA from 1 species